GCGACAGUGGCUCAGCUGGUAGAGUACGACCUUGCCAAGGUCGGGGUCGCGGGUUCGAACCCCGUCUGUCGCUC
rnacentral:tRNA from 4 species